rnacentral:rRNA from 1 species
CCUACGGGCGGCAGCAGUGAGGAAUAUUGGUCAAUGGACGAGAGUCUGAACCAGCCAAGUAGUGUGAAGGAUGACUGCCCUAUGGGUUGUAAACUUCUUUUAUAUGGGAAUAAAAUGUUCCACGUGUGGGAUUUUGUAUGUACCAUAUGAAUAAGGAUCGGCUAACUCCGUGCCAGCAGCCGCGGUAAUACGGAGGAUCCGAGCGUUAUCCGGAUUUAUUGGGUUUAAAGGGAGCGUAGGUGGAUUGUUAAGUCAGUUGUGAAAGUUUGCGGCUCAACCGUAAAAUUGCAGUUGAAACUGGCAGUCUUGAGUACAGUAGAGGUGGGCGGAAUUCGUGGUGUAGCGGUGAAAUGCUUAGAUAUCACGAAGAACUCCGAUUGCGAAGGCAGUUCACUGGACUGCAACUGACACUGAGGCUCGAAAGUGUGGGUAUCAAACAGGAUUAGAUACCCGAGUAGUC